AGAAAAUAGAUACCCGGGUAGUCCACGCUGUAAACGAUGGAUACUAGGUGUAGCAGGUAUCGACCCCUGCUGUGCCGCAGCUAACGCAAUAAGUAUCCCGCCUGGGGAGUAUGGCCGCAAGGUUGAAACUCAAAGGAAUUGACGGGGGCCCGCACAAGCGGUGGAGGAUGUGGUUUAAUUCGACGCAACGCGAAGAACCUUACCAAGGCUUGACAUCCACUGAAUCUUGUAGAAAUACAGGAGUGCCCGAAAGGGAGCAGUGAGACAGGUGGUGCAUGGCUGUCGUCAGCUCGUGUCGUGAGAUGUUGGGUUAAGUCCCGCAACGAGCGCAACCCUCGACGUUAGUUACCAUCAUUCAGUUGGGGACUCUAACGUGACUGCCGGUGAUAAGCCGGAGGAAGGUGAGGACGACGUCAAGUCAUCAUG
rnacentral:rRNA from 1 species